GACGAACGCUGGCGGUGUGCCUAAUACAUGCAAGUCGAGCGCAGGAAGCUCACGGAACUCUUCGGAGGGAAGUGAAGGGAAUGAGCGGCGGACGGGUGAGUAACACGUAAGGAACCUGCCCCAAGGAUUGGGAUAACUCCGAGAAAUCGGAGCUAAUACCGAAUAGUUCUUCAGACCGCAUGGUCUGAUGAUGAAAGGCGCUCCGGCUUCACCUUGGGAUGGCCUUGCGGUGCAUUAGCUAGUUGGUGGGGUAAUGGCCCACCAAGGCGACGAUGCAUAGCCGACCUGAGAGGGUGAUCGGCCACACUGGGACUGAGACACGGCCCAGACUCCUACGGGAGGCAGCAGUAGGGAAUCUUCCACAAUGGACGAAAGUCUGAUGGAGCAACGCCGCGUGAGUGAUGAAGGUUUUCGGAUCGUAAAACUCUGUUGUAAGGGAAGAACAGGUAUGAGAGGUAAUGCUCAUGCUAUGACGGUACCUUACGAGAAAGCCACGGCUAACUACGUGCCAGCCGCCGCCGUAAUAC
rnacentral:rRNA from 1 species